GUCACGGUGGUCUAGCGGUUAGAACGCUGGCCUUGUAAUCCUGGGGUCUCGGGUUCGAUUCCCGGCUGUGCCC
rnacentral:tRNA from 1 species